GCCCCGGGUCACAGGCUAGUCAGUGGCCUAAGGAAGACAGUGGUUCUCGUGACCAGUCCUAAGGCUGUACCCAGGCCUAUCACAUUGAGCUACCAGGCACUGUCUCCUUAGCCCAGACUUCUGUGGGGCUCAUUUCCACCUGCAGAUCUAACCUUGUCUUGGUGACUUAGCCUUCCUGCUGCACUCCCGUCUGGGAGAACUGGGAAGGCAGCAGUUGUGUCUGCUGCCCUCUGGUGGGUGUGUAUGGGUGUGGGUGUGUGCACAUACAUAAAGCACUAUGCCGUCCUGCUGUUCUGUACUUUAUAGUCACACACCCUACUUUCCUCUAGAUCCUUCUUCUGAUUGACAUUGAGCAGUCCUACAUCAACACAAACCAUGAAGACUUCAUUGGAUUUGCCAAUGCCCAGCAGAGGAGCACGCAGCUGAACAAGAA
rnacentral:lncRNA from 1 species